GAUGAAGAACGUAGCGAAAUGCGAUAAGUAAUGUGAAUUGCAGAAUUCAGUGAAUCAUCGAAUCUUUGAACGCACCUUGCGCUCCUUGGUAUUCCGAGGAGCAUGCCUGUUUGAGUGUCAUUAAUAUAUCAACCUCUUCAGCUUAUGCUUGUUGAGUGUUGGAUGGUGGGGGUUUGCUGGUGUCUUAUGAAGUCAGCUCCUCUGAAAUGCAUUAGCGGAACAAUUUGUUGACCGUUCAUUGGUGUGAUAAAAAUAUCUACGCUAUUGACGUCAGUCAGUUCAGCUUCUAGCAGUCCAUUGACUUGGACAAAUUUUUCAUUAAUGUGACCUCAAAUCAGGUAGGACUACCCGCUGAACUUAAGCAUAUCAAUAAGCGGAGGA
rnacentral:misc_RNA from 1 species